GACUACGCUGGCGGCGUGCCUAACACAUGCAAGUCGAACGAGUUGUUAUAGUAGCAAUAUUGUGAACAGCAAGUGGCGAACGGGUAGUAACACGUAGAUAAUCUGCCUUUCAGACGGGGACAACUCAGGGAAACUUGUGCUAAUACCCGAUGAGACUACGGGAGGGGACUUUCGUAGCCAAAGGUGGGGGCAACCUCACGCUGAAAGAUGAGUCUGCGUCCUAUCAGCUAGUUGGUGGGGUAAAAGCCUACCAAGGCGAAGACGGGUAGCCGGCCUGAGAGGGUGAACGGCCACACUGGGACUGAGACACGGCCCAGACUCCUACGGGAGGCAGCAGUGAGGAAUUUUCCGCAAUGGGCGCAAGCCUGACGGAGCGACGCCGCGUGAGGGAUGACGGCCUUCGGGUUGUAAACCUCUUUUAUUAGGGAAAAAGGCAAUCGUGCUAAUACCACGGUUGUUUGAUGUUACCUGUUGAAUAAGCCCCGGCUAACUACGUG
rnacentral:rRNA from 1 species